rnacentral:lncRNA from 13 species
AGAAACCGAUGCUUCAGCAGCUGCCGCUACAGCCAUAGGAUACAAUAUCGCCAUAACAUCAAGCGCACUCUCUCAUCAGUCCUUGUUGCAAUUUUUGAACGCAACUUCGAGAUCCAUCUACUUAAGUAUCCUGGCAAAGUAUAUAAAAAAAAUUAGCGUCUUACGAGGUAAGGUGACUUUUCCUUCUUAGACACGUAUGUUUGCUAAUAAGUGUACGCUACCUUGAAGAGGAAUAGUCUGAAUUAUCAUGAGAAGUACGCCGGCUAAUGAAGCAACUCCAACGUUUUGCCAUAUCAAAUAUGCAAUUAUAGAUCCUUGUAUAGGUAGGAUCCAAAUAUAAUGUAACGAUACAAACAACUGUUCAAAUUUUGACAUGUCGUUCGAUAAAAGAUUAAUAAUUUGU